UCUAAAAGCCAACAGCAAUCAAUACACAAAUCGUCAUGUGUGAGUAUUUACAGGCAGCGUGCCAUCAUUUCUGAGCUCUUUUAGAUGAUUGGACUUUUUCUAUUUAAGACGGAGUGUGCGGUGUCAAUCACAUUAUGUGAGGUCAGUGUGUAAAUCAGUGCUAAAUUAUAUAUCUUUCAAUAUAUUUUAUGCAUAUUUGAGAGAUGAUCGUACGAUACAUUUUAGGAUUUAUGAGGCCCCUGGUGUUUUUGACAGAAUGUGACCCCGGUCAGAUGGGUUCAAGUGUUGUUGUUUUAAACUCCAGGCCAGCAGAGGUCACUGUGACACCACUGCUAGCUGAUGCUGCCGUCCUCUGAAGGAGCAGCUGCAUUUUGGACUCCGGUUAUGAAGGCAGUAAAUACCUGGGAAAAAAUACAAGCGGAACGAGUGAAGAAGAAGCUUUGUCCCCUUUUAUGCCAAAGACAAUGAUGGUUCCCUUCUACACUUCCAUCAUUGAGUCCAUUCUCACCACAUCUCCAUCACCAUCUGGAUCUGUACACUUCCAGGACCCUGAAGCGGGUGUUUAAGAUUGUGGCUGACAAUUCUCACCAGGACCAGGACCUCACGCCACAAAAACGGUUUCUUUCCAUCUGCAACUGUCCUUAUCAACAAUACCCAGGCUAGUUGAGCUCCCAGUGCUUCUUACUCACGCCAGUGGACUUUACACUUGGCUAAAAAAAAACAACAACAACAACAAAAAAAAAAACACCAUACACACACACAGACAUCCCAACCUGCAAAAAGUCAUUUCAGGGAGGUAUCCAGAAGACCUCACCUCAACAUGCCUUUUGCAAUCAUAUAACCCGCCAUGGGCAAUGCUUGAGCAAGACUGUAAUUAUGUUUUACAUCUAUAAGACGGGUACUUUUUUUUGUUUUU